rnacentral:rRNA from 1 species
UACGUAGGGGGCAAGCGUUGUCCGGAUUUAUUGGGCGUAAAGAGCGUGUAGGCGGCUUUACAGGUCCGUUGUGAAAACUCGAGGCUCAACCUCGAGACGUCGGUGGAAACCGUAAGGCUAGAGUCCGGAAGAGGAGAGUGGAAUUCCUGGUGUAGCGGUGAAAUGCGCAGAUAUCUGGAGGAACACCGGUGGCGAAGGCGGCAUCCUGGACCGGUAUUGACGCUGAGGCGCGAAAGCUAGGGGAGCAAACAGG